GUGGGGGAUAUUGCACAAUGGAGGAAACUCUGAUGCAGCGACGCCGCGUGAGUGAAGAAGUAUUUCGGUAUGUAAAGCUCUAUCAGCAGGGAAGAUAAUGACAGUACCUGACUAAGAAGCCCCGGCUAACUACGUGCCAGCAGCCGCGGUAAUACGUAGGGGUCAAGCGUUAUCCGGAUUUACUGGGUGUAAAGGGAGCGUAGACGGAAUGGCAAGUCUGAAGUGAAAUCCUGCGGCUUAACUGAAGAAGUGCUUUGGAAACUGGCAAGCUGGAGUGUUGGAGAGGUAAGCGGAAUUCCUGGUGUAGCGGUGAAAUGCGGAGAUAUCAGGAAGAACACCGGAGGCGAAGGCGGCUUACUGGACAAUUACUGACGUUGAGGCUCGAAAGCGUGGGAAGCAAACAGGAUUAGAAACCCGUGUAGUCC
rnacentral:rRNA from 1 species